rnacentral:rRNA from 1 species
UGGGAAUUUGGACGAAUGGGCGAAAGCCUGAUCCAGCAAUGCCGCGUGUGUGAAGAAGGCCUUCGGGUUGUAAAGCACUUUUGUCCGGAAAGAAAUCCUUGGCUCUAAUACAGUCGGGGGAUGACGGUACCGGAAGAAUAAGCACCGGCUAACUACGUGCCAGCAGCCGCGGUAAUACGUAGGGUGCAAGCGUUAAUCGGAAUUACUGGGCGUAAAGCGUGCGCAGGCGGUUUGCUAAGACCGAUGUGAAAUCCCCGGGCUCAACCUGGGAACUGCAUUGGUGACUGGCAGGCUAGAGUAUGGCAGAGGGGGGUGAGAAUUCCACGUGUAGCAGGUGAAAUGCGUAGAGAUGUGGAGGAAUACCGAUGGCGAAGGCAGCCCCCUGGCAAGUACUGACGCUCAUGCACGAAAGCGUGGGGAGCAAACNGGAUUAAUNCCCUGGUAGUCCACGCCCU